CAAGUACUCCCUCCGUUCGGAAUUAGUUGUCGCAGAAAUUGAUGUAUCUAGACAUAUUUAAGUUCUAGAUACAUCCAUUUUCGCGACAAGUAAAUCCGAACGGAGGGUGUAGUUG
rfam:Triticum aestivum genome assembly, contig: Triticum_aestivum_CS42_TGACv1_scaffold_080500_1DS